rnacentral:rRNA from 1 species
GACGAACGCUGGCGGCGUGCUUAACACAUGCAAGUCGAACGGAAAGGCCCUGCUUGCCGGGUACUCGAGUGGCGAACGGGUGGGUAACACGUGGGUGAUCUGCCCUGCACUUCGGGUUAAGCCUGGGAAACUGGGUCUAGUACCGGAUGGGAGCCAUUUUUAGUGUGAUGGUUGGAAAGUUUUUUCGGUGUAGGGUGAGCUCGCGGCCUAUCAGCUUGUUGGUGGGGUAAUGGACUACCAAGGCGGCGGCGGGUAGCCGGACUGCGAGGGUGGACGGCCACAUUGGGACUGAGAUACGGCCCAGACGCCGACGGGAGGCAGAAGGGGGGAAUAUUGCACAAUGGGCGCAAGCCGGAUGCAGCGACGCCGCGGGGGGGAUGACGGCCUUCGGGUUGUAAACGCCAUUCGCUAGGGACGAAGCUUUUUGUGACGGUACCUAGAUAAGAAGCACCGGCUAACUACGUG